GUCUUUUAAUGUGGAGUACGGAAAUAAGGGUUUUCAAUCGGCAUUAUUUUGGUUGCAGAGGUUUAGGAGAGUCCAAGUAGCCACCGAUCUCUUCAUCUCCGAACUCCCAAAGCAGAAAUUCUGACAGUUCAAACUAAGAAAUGGGUGACAAGAAGAAGGCGGGUGCGAUCUUUGUGAGGCUCGUUUCAGCUGCAGGCACUGGAUUCUUCUACGUGGUGAAGAAGACAAAGAGGCUUCAGACGAGUCAGACAAAACUCGAGUUUCGGAAGUAUGAUCCUCGCGUGAAUUGCCAUGUUCUGUUCAAGGAAGAAAAAAUGAAGUGAUGGGUUAUCAGAAUGCCCAAAUGUUCACUGUUUAUUUACAUCUGAUAACUUUUACAUUAGGAGACUGCUGAACAUUUUAGUUAUACAAAUCUGUGAAAUUUCCCUUCUGAAACUCCUUUUCAAAAUAAAAAUAAUUUAAUUA